rnacentral:rRNA from 1 species
AGGAUGAACGCUGGCGGCGUGCCUAAUACAUGCAAGUCGAACGAGUUCUGAUUAUUGAAAGGUGCUUGCAUCUUGAUUUUAAUUUUGAACGAGUGGCGGACGGGUGAGUAACACGUGGGUAACCUGCCCUUAAGUGGGGGAUAACAUUUGGAAACAGAUGCUAAUACCGCAUAAAUCCAAGAACCGCAUGGUUCUUGGCUGAAAGAUGGCGUAAGCUAUCGCUUUUGGAUGGACCCGCGGCGUAUUAGCUAGUUGGUGAGGUAACGGCUCACCAAGGCAAUGAUACGUAGCCGAACUGAGAGGUUGAUCGGCCACAUUGGGACUGAGACACGGCCCAAACUCCUACGGGAGGCAGCAGUAGGGAAUCUUCCACAAUGGACGCAAGUCUGAUGGAGCAACGCCGCGUGAGUGAAGAAGGCUUUCGGGUCGUAAAACUCUGUUGUUGGAGAAGAAUGGUCGGCAGAGUAACUGUUGUCGGCGUGACGGUAUCCAACCAGAAAGCCACGGCUAACUACGUGCCAGCAGCCGCGGUAAUACGUAGGUGGCAAGCGUUAUCCGGAUUUAUUGGGCGUAAAGCGAGCGCAGGCGGUUUUUUAAGUCUGAUGUGAAAGCCCUCGGCUUAACCGAGGAAGUGCAUCGGAAACUGGGAAACUUGAGUGCAGAAGAGGACAGUGGAACUCCAUGUGUAGCGGUGAAAUGCGUAGAUAUAUGGAAGAACACCAGUGGCGAAGGCGGCUGUCUGGUCUGUAACUGACGCUGAGGCUCGAAAGCAUGGGUAGCGAACAGGAUUAGAUACCCUGGUAGUCCAUGCCGUAAACGAUGAAUGCUAGGUGUUGGAGGGUUUCCGCCCUUCAGUGCCGCAGCUAACGCAUUAAGCAUUCCGCCUGGGGGGUACGACCGCAAGGUUGAAACUCAAAGGAAUUGACGGGGGCCCGCACAAGCGGUGGAGCAUGUGGUUUAAUUCGAAGCAACGCGAAGAACCUUACCAGGUCUUGACAUCUUUUGAUCACCUGAGAGAUCAGGUUUCCCCUUCGGGGGCAAAAUGACAGGUGGUGCAUGGUUGUCGUCAGCUCGUGUCGUGAGAUGUUGGGUUAAGUCCCGCAACGAGCGCAACCCUUAUGACUAGUUGCCAGCAUUUAGUUGGGCACUCUAGUAAGACUGCCGGUGACAAACCGGAGGAAGGUGGGGAUGACGUCAAAUCAUCAUGCCCCUUAUGACCUGGGCUACACACGUGCUACAAUGGAUGGUACAACGAGUUGCGAGACCGCGAGGUCAAGCUAAUCUCUUAAAGCCAUUCUCAGUUCGGACUGUAGGCUGCAACUCGCCUACACGAAGUCGGAAUCGCUAGUAAUCGCGGAUCAGCACGCCGCGGUGAAUACGUUCCCGGGCCUUGUACACACCGCCCGUCACACCAUGAGAGUUUGUAACACCCGAAGCCGGUGGCGUAACCCUUUUAGGGAGCGAGCCGUCUAAGGUGGGACAAAUGAUUAGGGU